CCAAGUAGAAAUCUGGAGCCCUGAAUACUCCGCGUUCUGAAAAAGGACAUCUGUGAUAAGAUGGAACUUGGCACCAGUAACUCAUGUACUAUGGGUGAAGCAUGCUCAGAAGAGGCAGACCCAGAGGCAAUCAAAACUCUUCUGAGAAAUCCUUCGCAUUCAAGAAUUCAGGCCAGAACUGCAAGUUGAUUCAAGCUCCCUAUAGGUAAGAGGGAUUUCUCUGCUGAUGACACCUCAACACAUAAUAUUUCUGGAUCUCUUUUCUGGCCAGAAGUAACACCAGACUGAGACAGCAGCUGAGAAAAAAAGCUCUGAGGUUUGGCUCAUAGGAACAUAUGGGGGCUGUUAACUUUUAGCAAAGGCUUCUUUGGAUUUACCACAAGUAGGGUUAGUCCUGAGCUUUGUGGCUCUACAGUACAGAUCUACAGCUCCCAGGUUGUUUUAUAACCUGGGGUUUCCAUUCCGGUCUAUGUCUAUAUAUGAUAAGGAGUUGAAAACCUGAAGACAGAGAUCUGAAAGACCUCUAGGUCAUUCUUUCGAAUAAUUUGUGCUGCAAAUAUAUUGAAAUUAAUUGUAUUUUCUUCCCCUGCCUGUGUGGAAUUUCCCCUUACUGUCACUGGCCAUUAUUAGGAAGUGCACAUUCAAGCAAUAAUUUAUAACCAACAGCUAAACAAAAAUAGGCUUAGGAAAAAAGAAAACAACACUUUUUCUUGUUCUUUUUCUUCUCCUUCUUCUCCUUCUUCUCCUUCUUCUUCUUCUUCUUCUUCUUUUUCUUUUUCUUUUUCUUUAAAAUUUUUCCUAGAGAUUUGGUCUUUCCCUCUAACCCAUCCACUGUGCUUAAUUUAGAACAGUUUUCAACAUAGGGUAAGUCCUAAGUUUAGGGCUAACUAUUUACUACUAUUUACUUACUUUUCCUUACUCUCCCCAUCAUUAAAAAAACAGUGAUAGAUGCUGAUGGACGAGGUGCAGUGAUAUACCAAAUAAAGAUCUAGUGCUGCACA
rnacentral:lncRNA from 1 species